UGGUAACCGUUAUUAUUGGGUCUAAAGGGUCUGUAGCCGGCCGGAUAAGUCUCUUGAGAAAUCUGGCAGCUUAACUGUCAGGCUUUCAGGAGAUACUGUCUGGCUCGAGGCCGGGAGAGGUGAGAGGUACUUCAGGGGUAGGGGUGAAAUCUUGUAAUCCUUGAAGGACCACCAGUGGCGAAGGCGUCUCACCAGAACGGACCUGACGGCAAGGGACGAAAGCUAGGGGCACGAACCGGAUUAGAUACCCGGGUAGUCCUAGCCGUAAACGAUACUCGCUAGGUGUCGGCCACGGUGCGACCGUUGUCGGUGCCGUAGGGAAGCCGUGAAGCGAGCCACCUGGGAAGUACGGCCGCAAGGCUGAAACUUAAAGGAAUUGGCGGGGGAGCACCACAACGGGUGGAGCUUGCGGUUUAAUUGGAUUCAACGCCGGAAAUCUUACCGGGACCGACAGCAAUAUGAAGGCCAGGCUGAAGACUUUGCCGGAUUAGCUGAGAGGUGGUGCAUGGCCGUCGUCAGUUCGUACUGUGAAGCAUCCUGUUAAGUCAGGCAACGAGCGAGACCCACGCCCACAGUUGCCAGCGUACUCUCUGGAGU
rnacentral:rRNA from 1 species